rnacentral:SRP_RNA from 1 species
GCCGGGUGCGGUGGCAUGUGCCUGUAAUCCAAGUCACUGGGAGGCUGAGGUUGGUGGAUCAAGUGAGCUGAGGAGCUCUGGGCUGCAGCACACUAUGUUGAACGGGUGUCCACGCUAAGUUCGGUAUCGAUAUGGUGUUCCAGGGGGAGCCCGGGACCACCAGGUUGUCUAAGGAGGGGUGAACCGGCCCAGGUCGGAAACGAAGCAGGUCAAAUCCCCCGUGCUGUCCAGUAGUUGGAUAAUACCUGUGAGUAGAUGCUGCAGUGCAGCCUUGGCAAAACAUCGGGACCUAAUCUUUU